rnacentral:rRNA from 1 species
GAACCUUACCAGGUCUUGACAUCCCCUGACAACCCUAGAGAUAGGGCGUUCCCCUUUCGGGGACAGGGUGACAGGUGGUGCAUGGUUGUCGUCAGCUCGUGUCGUGAGAUGUUGGGUUAAGUCCCGCAACGAGCGCAACCCUUGACCUUAGUUGCCAGCAUUCAGUUGGGCACUCUAAGGUGACUGCCGGCUAAAAGUCGGAGGAAGGUGGGGAUGACGUCAAAUCAUCAUGCCCCUUAUGACCUGGGCUACACACGUGCUACAAUGGGUGGUACAAAGGGCAGCGAAACCGCGAGGUGGAGCGAAUCCCAAAAAACCACUCUCAGUUCGGAUUGCAGGCUGCAACUCGCCUGCAUGAAGCCGGAAUCGCUAGUAAUCGCGGAUCAGCAUGCCGCGGUGAAUACGUUCCCGGGCCUUGUACACACCGCCCGUCAAGCCAUGGAAGUGGGUUCUGCCUGAAGUCGCCGGUAGCCUUGGGCAGGCGCCGAGGGCCGGGCUCAUGACUGGGGCUAAGUCGUAACAAGGUAGCUGUACCGGAAGGUGCGGCUGGAUCACCUCCUUUCUA